GGCUUGCCACUGUUCCUGCACGGCUAAGUGCCCGGGUUCGUCCUAAUCAAGCUGAACACUAGUCACUGGGUUCCACGGUUCUCUUCCGUGACCCACGGCUUCUAAUAGAGCUAUUAACACUCAUUGCAUGGCCCAAGAUUCCCUUCCUUGGAAUCCCUGAGGCCAAGAACCCCAGGUCAGAGAACACGAGGCUUGCCACCAUCUUGGAAGCAGCCUGCUGCCAUUUUGGAAGCGGCCCACCACCAUCUUGGGAGCUCUGGGAGCAAGGACCACCUGGUAACAAUAGGCCAAAUACUUUGCUGAUAAGCUUGAAAGCCUGCCCUGAAUCCUCAUCUAUUGAUGGAGAUGGUGUCAUCUUGCCUUGAUUGUAUCCAGAAGCUUCAUCCCCAAGAUAAAGGAUGGACACCUCUCAGAUGACCAGCUUCUUUUGCUUGACUCUAGAGAAGGUUGCUUUCUGCAUUCUGGCAACUGCCCUCUGUCUAUGUGAUUAGACUUGUUGGUUGCAGUGCUUUCUGGAGUAAUGAAGGGAUCCAGUGCACAGGGUUUAACUUACUGGGCACAAUCUCUAAGCCAACUCUGCCUGAAUGGGUCCCCUGUUUUUUCUCUUCUGCUCUUGUUGAACCAUAUCUCUCUUCCUUGUGCUCCUGGGAAUUUCUUGAUCUGGUCAUGAAAAAAAUGGAAACUCUCUCAAGGACUAACAAUCAGAGCUGUCUCGUUGACAAGGGACGUUAUGGUUGCAAGAAGACCCUGAAGCAAGGAUUCUACAUCAAAGAUUCAGGGGCAAUCUGAGUUUGCAUUUAAGAUCCUUCUGCCU
rnacentral:lncRNA from 1 species